AUGGCUUGUAAGCCGGUGAAAUUUUUUGCUAUGGAUGUUGCGUGCAAGUACUGGCCUUACCUCCAGAGAGGGAACGAGAGAUGCCCUGAGCUUCAGGAUCUGCUCUCAAUGAAGCCAUUUCUAUCAGUGUUUCAUGCCAAAGCCCACGACUUCAAAUGUGAGGUAAAAUGGAGUGGGGCAUACCAGGAGGGGGCUGGUUUGACUCUUGGGGAGGAGGUGGAGCAAUGCAAUGCCUUCCUCUCGAGGAUUGCUGUUACGACAAAGCACAUGUCAAAAGUUGGAGCAAUGCAAUGCCUUCCUCUCGAGAAUUGCUGUUAACACAAAGCACAUGUCAAAAGCAGGUAAGGUAAACACACACAGUGUGUAACUAGUUUGAUAAAGUGACUUUUCUCACACUUCUAUGAGAAGUGUUCAAACUACAGCAAAAUUUGAUCCUGAUGACAAAGAUGAGGAACAUGCUGACUCUGACUAUAUCAAGCAAAGCAGGUUUACAAUGUAGAAUCUUUAAGACAGUUGGGUGGAUCGAUACCAUCAUCAUCAUUUUAUGAGUUGAAAAUCAUAAUGAUAGUCAGUUGGAGCAAAUACUGCACUGUUGUUGGUUGUGCAUACCUUACAAUACUCACCUACUGUCCUGCUACAGUGCUCAAUGCCAUUUGCGUGUUGUCCUGUGUCACUGUUGCAUGCUACUUCCCCACUGUCCUGUGCCACUAACCAACUAACCCUUUCCUUGGACUGUAAUCAAAUAGCAAAAGACAGCAGGUUGACACCACAGUACUAGACUAAGUUAUUGUUUCUGAAAAGUAUUUGUACGUUUUUCUCCUACCUCUACUGUGAAGAAGAGUGAAAAAAUACUUUUUGUUCUGUUUGCAGGACGCACAGACAUGCUCACAGUCAUGGCCAUGUGCUGGAAUCAGCAAAAGUUUAACAACUUGGCUUCAACACUUGCCUGCCGAUAUCAAAAGGUAAAGACACCAGUAAUCACUUAUGCAACAUAUAUAGCAGCAUGUGUAUUGUAAAAUAUAGUUACAUCACACUAAACAUUUAUAUGUAGUGU
ensembl:lncRNA